rnacentral:rRNA from 1 species
AUUGAACGCUGGCGGCAGGCCUAACACAUGCAAGUCGAGCGGUAGAGAGGUGCUUGCAUCUCUUGAGAGCGGCGGACGGGUGAGUAAUGCCUAGGAAUCUGCCUAGUGGUGGGGGAUAACGUUCGGAAACGGGCGCUAAUACCGCAUACGUCCUACGGGAGAAAGCGGGGGGAUCUUCGGACCUCGCGCCAUUAGAUGAGCCUAGGUCGGAUUAGCUAGUUGGUGAGGUAAUGGCUCACCAAGGCGACGAUCCGUAACUGGUCUGAGAGGAUGAUCAGUCACACUGGGACUGAGACACGGCCCAGACUCCUACGGGAGGCAGCAGUGGGGAAUAUUGGACAAUGGGCGAAAGCCUGAUCCAGCAAUGCCGCGUGAGUGAUGAAGGCCUUAGGGUUGUAAAGCUCUUUUACCCGGGAUGAUAAUGACAGUACCGGGAGAAUAAGCUCCGGCUAACUCCGUGCCAGCAGCCGCGGUAAAGUGACUAC